AUGUGAGAGAAAGUGACUCUA
ensembl:piRNA 21ur-2444 ncRNA